rnacentral:snRNA from 1 species
UUGCUUCAGCAGCACAUAUACUAAAAUUGGAAUGAUACAGAGAAGAUUAGCAUGGCAAGGAUGACACGCAAAUUCGUAAAGCGUUCCAUAUUUUA